rnacentral:tRNA from 1 species
GCUUUCGUGGUGUAGUUGUCAGCAGGCUCGGCACGUAUUCGAGAGGUCCGCGGUUCGAGUCCCGGCGAGGGCA